ACGUUGCUGCAGGCUGCUCUCAACUGCUUGGGGUCGUUCGACAGGAAGUAAAAGCAGGAAGCAUGACUCUCGGCAACUUCCUGCGGGGACGUGUGUAUACCUGAGCGAAGCGGAGUUUCACCGAGAGACACUGAAUUCAGUCAGCUCUCGAGAUUCAUUCUCCACUCUGUGUCGGGAGUGGAAGAUAUUUCUCUCCCCAAAGGAGGUCCCUUCAAGGGCCCAGGUUCAAAGGCAUUGUUCAUCGUCCAGCAGCUGUGAGGGCCUUGAGGCCCCGCCCCCAGAGAAACGGUCCCACCAGAAAGCUGACACAGAUCACAGCGUUGUAUGGAGACGGAAAAAAAUAGAAAAAGUUGGUCAUCCAGAGUUGCAAAGUUGUGCCCCUUGCCCUUUGCUCACCAGGACGUCGUCUUCAGAGGGAUCUUUGCCCUAAAUGUAUACACGAAGCCAGAACAGAGACAGAAAGAUGCACCUGAGCAAACAUUAGCAUCCUCCAUGAGACGCUUUGAUGUUCCUGCAGUGGCAACGUUGGACUCAGAACACAUGAGGGCUGAGUCAAUACGCGAGAGCCACUCGGCCGUGGCGCACAUCAUCUUCCGGGCCGGCCGGACGGGACACGGAGGCCACAGAUGGUCGGGAAAUGGCGGGGCAGUGGCCGCGGCACCAGCUUUAAUACAGCCCCCCCAUUGCUGUGUGAGCAGAUGAGAG